rnacentral:rRNA from 1 species
AGGAAUAUUGGUCAAUGGGCGUAAGCCUGAACCAGCCAAGUAGCGUGAGGGAAGACUGCCCUAUGGGUUGUAAACCUCUUUUGUGCGGGGAUAAAGUGUGGGACGUGUCCCAUAUUGCAGGUACCGCACGAAUAAGGACCGGCUAAUUCCGUGCCAGCAGCCGCGGUAAUACGGAAGGUCCGGGCGUUAUCCGGAUUUAUUGGGUUUAAAGGGAGCGCAGGCCGUCCUUUAAGCGUGCUGUGAAAUGCCGCGGCUCAACCGUGGCACUGCAGCGCGAACUGGAGGACUUGAGUACGCACGAGGUAGGCGGAAUUCGUGGUGUAGCGGUGAAAUGCUUAGAUAUCACGAAGAACUCCGAUUGCGAAGGCAGCUUACCGGAGCGCAACUGACGCUGAGGCUCGAAAGCGCGGGUAUCGAACAGGAUUAGAUACCCUGGUAGUCCGCGCGGUAAACGAUGGAUGCCCGCCGUUGGGAUUUAGAUUUCAGCGGCCAAGCGAAAGCGUUAAGCAUCCCACCUGGGGAGUACGCCGGCAACGGUGAAACUCAAAGGAAUUGACGGGGGCCCGCACAAGCGGAGGAACAUGUGGUUUAAUUCGAUGAUACGCGAGGAACCUUACCCGGGCUUGAAUUGCAGGAGAACGAUCCAGAGAUGGUGAGGCCCUUCGGGGCUCCUGUGAAGGUGCUGCAUGGUUGUCGUCAGCUCGUGCCGUGAGGUGUCGGCUCAAGUGCCAUAACGAGCGCAACCCCUGUCCAUAGUUGCCAUCAGGUCGUGCUGGGCACUCUGUGGAGACUGCCGCCGUAAGGUGUGAGGAAGGUGGGGAUGACGUCAAAUCAGCACGGCCCUUACGUCCGGGGCUACACACGUGUUACAAUGGGGCAUACAGCGAGUUGGAUGUGCGCAAGUACGUCCGGAUCAAUAAAGUGCCUCUCAGUUCGGACUGGGGUCUGCAACCCGACCCCACGAAGCUGGAUUCGCUAGUAAUCGCGCAUCAGCCAUGCCGCGGUGAAUACGUUCCCG